UACAGAGGGUGCAAGCGUUGUUCGGAAUCAUUGGGCGUAAAGGGCGUGUAGGCGGUCUGUUAAGUCAUGUGUGAAAUCCCUCGGCUCAACCGGGGAACGACGCAUGAAACUGACAAGCUAGAGUACCAAAGAGGAGAGUGGAAUUCCUGGUGUAGCGGUGAAAUGCGCAGAUAUCAGGAAGAACACCAAUGGCGAAGGCAGCUCUCUGGGACGGUACUGACGCUGAGACGCGAAAGCGUGGGGAGCGAACAGG
rnacentral:rRNA from 1 species